rnacentral:rRNA from 1 species
GACGAACGCUGGCGGCGUGCUUAACACAUGCAAGUCGAACGGAAAGGCCCUGCUUUUGUGGGGUGCUCGAGUGGCGAACGGGUGAGUAACACGUGAGUAACCUGCCCCUGACUUUGGGAUAACUUCAGGAAACUGGGGCUAAUACCGGAAAGGAGUUCCUGCUGCAUGGUGGGGGUGGGAAAGUUUCGGUGGUUGGGGAUGGACUCGCGUCUUAUCGGCUUGUUGGUGGGGUGGUGGCUUACCAAGCCUUUGACGGGUAGCAGGCCUGAGAGGGUGACCGGCCACGUUGGGACUGAGAUGCGGCCCAGACUCGUACGGGAGGCAGCAGUGGGGAAUAUUGCACAAUGGGCGGAAGCCAGAUGCAGCAACGCCACGUGCGGGAUGACGGCCUUCGGGUUGUAAACCGCUUUCGCCUGUGACGAAGCGUGAGUGACGGUAAUGGGUGAAGAAGCACCGGCUAACUACGUG